rnacentral:rRNA from 1 species
UUCCAGACUCCUACGGGAGGCAGCAGUGGGGGAUAUUGCACAAUGGGGGAAACCCUGAUGCAGCGACGCCGCGUGGGCGAAGAAGUAUUUCGGUAUGUAAAGCCCUAUCAGCAGGGAAGAAGAAAUGACGGUACCUGAGUAAGAAGCACCGGCUAAAUACGUGCCAGCAGCCGCGGUAAUACGUAUGGUGCAAGCGUUAUCCGGAUUUACUGGGUGUAAAGGGAGCGCAGGCGGCACGGCAAGCCUGAUGUGAAAGCCCGCGGCCCAACCGCGGGACUGCUUUGGAAACUUUUUUGCUGGAGUACCGGAGAGGUAAGCGGAAUUCCUAGUGUAGCGGUGAAAUGCGUAGAUAUUAGGAGGAACACCAGUGGCGAAGGCGGCUUACUGGACGGUAACUGACGUUGAGGCUCGAAAGCGUGGGGAGCAAACAGGAUUAGAUACCCCAGUA